AAAAAUCCCAGCAGCCCAGGGAAUGGAAUGGAAUGGAACGGAGCACAGAAGCAGAAAGCUGGAGAGACAGUGCAGUGGGAGGCGUCAGGGCAGAGGUUACAGGCUGGAAUGACUUUGUGAGCAAAGAGAAGCAGCAGUAAAUGGUAUUUACUGUCCCAUGGCAGGCAGCAGGGAAGGUGUGACGGAGAGCAAAGAAAACAAGAUGGCCUCAUCGGAAAGCAGCCCCUGCUGACUCACCGGCUGAGUCACAGCCUUGCCCAGCUUCUACUCUUUUUCCAAUCAAGGAAACAGCAACUUCCCAUAAACUUAUUUUAAGGCUGGUUCGGAUGCUGAGCAUUCCUGCACCAAGUUUCUAGUCUUGACAAUCCCCCGUGCCCUUCCAUAUCUGUUUCCCAGCAGGAGGCACAAUCCUUCAAAGCACACAGUGUCCUGAGGUAGGAAACGGUGCUGUGGUGCUGUGGCCUCUCCAAAGCAGAAACAGGAUUUUCAAUUUACUGCUGAUCAGCCAUGCAAGCUGUGCCUCAGAUGGCCAAAGACAGGCUCUCACGAGAAUGGAGAGGCAAGGGGAAGAUUCAAGCUGGGAGGUUUCCAUUCUGGCACUGAACCUGUGCACUGCUGGGGAAAAUGCUCACCUUCAGAGCACUGCUUUGAAAGAGAAGAUUGCUCAUCCUCCUACUGUACUUUAAGGGUGGGAAGAAGAUAGCCUACAGUGGGAGACACAAAAACUCAGGAAUUACAACUUCUUCAACUAAAUUCCUUUCUGGAUUCAGAAAAAAUCAGUGAAAAUCAACAGGACACGAUAUCUUUUGCAGUCUUGCCACGAUCUCAGAGAAGGACCAGCACUUUGGUGAGACCUACAUCCUAAAGCACUGGGAUAACCAAAGAACCGCCCCAAACUGGGCCAAGAGACACUUCAGAGCUCAAAGACUACGUGGCAUUUUCUAAUCCAGAAAAUGACAACCUUGAGAAGGAUUCAAGAGUCACCACGGACAUGUACCUGGAUUCAAGCCCCCAGUGCUGUGGUGUGGGUAAAAAGGCCGGUGUGAUCCUCAGAUAAACAAUCACAUAGAAAGCUGUGGGAGGGAAGCGACUGUAUCUCCCUAGUUUGCAUUGAUGGAGCUGAUGCUGAAACAAUUCUUAUAUUUUUGUUGUUGAUAAAUUGGAUAGAGUGCAAGAAAAAGUCCUCAAAUAAUUGAUGUGAGGAAGAAAGCAAUCCUAAGGUUAGAAGAGCCCAGGCUGCUUACUUUAUUCAAAGGCAGCAGCAAAACUAGAUUACAAAGUAUAAAUACCUAGUGAGAACAUAGGCUUUUAAAAUUAUCACAGAAAGGCACAAAAGGCACCCGUGGUUGGAAACAAAGACAACUGAUACUAAAAAUAAGGUGCAGUUUUAUACUGUGAGUAUAACUAAUCACUGGAGGAAAUGAACAAGGGAAGUGGUGACUUCUUCUGUUUCUCAUGUUUUCCAUGCAGUACACAGUACCUUUCUAAGAGUUGCCACAGCCAAAUUGCUCAGCAAAGAUUGGAGCAGCCAUGGGAAGGGGAAAGAUCUGGGGUUCUGUUAUUGCCUGCUUGUUUACACUAUCUGAUGGCAUUUUAAUGCAUAAUCCAGGAACACAGGAAUUCACACCUUUACCACUGAA